GCCGGGCGUGGUGGCACACACCUGUAAUCCCAGUGGCUUGGGAGGCUGAGACAGGAGAAUAGGCCGGCCUCAGCAACAGUGAGAAGCUAAGCAACUCAGUGAGACCCUAUCUCUA
rnacentral:sRNA from 1 species